rnacentral:rRNA from 1 species
UACGGAGGGUGCGAGCGUUAAUCGGAAUUACUGGGCGUAAAGCGUGCGCAGGCGGUUUUGCAAGCCGGAUGUGAAAUCCCCGGGCUCAACCUGGGAAUGGCAUUCGGGACUGCAAGGCUGGAGUGCGGCAGAGGAGACUGGAAUUCCUGGUGUAGCAGUGAAAUGCGUAGAUAUCAGGAGGAAUACCGAUGGCGAAGGCAGGUCUCUGGGCUGACACUGACGCUCAUGCACGAAAGCGUGGGGAGCAAACAGG